AGUUGCUCGAGUUCUUGCAAGAGGAAGGGUCGAAGGCGAAGAAAUAUAUCCGGCAGACAAAAUACAAAGAGAGCAACGGUUUUCACCAACAAAGAAUAAUAAAGAGAAGAGAAGGGCUGCUUAUGUAAUGUUGAAGGUGGUUCCGAGAGCUAAAUUAUAGGGAUAUUUUCCUUUUUGAAAUUAAAAUUUUAUAUAUGUAAUGUAUAGGACGGUUUUAGAGCUAGAUUAUAGAUUUAUAGGGAUAUUUUCUUUUAAAAUAACAAAUUGUAUACACAUAUAAUAUUGGAAACGGUUUUUUAUGA